UGCUGAAAAGCCAUGUCUCCUUUUCCUGAUGAACCUCCAAACCUCCAGUGCUACAAGUCAGUGAUGAAAUAACCAUCCUCUGUGUAAAGCUUUUAGUGCUGAAUGUGAAAAAAUUCUCCGGGCUGCCAGCAGGUGGGAUUCAUGAUCAAACAGGAUAUAGCAACUUGCACCUGGAUUGCAAGAUCUGUGGUUCUCACUGUACCAUACAGAUGACUUUCUGGCCCAGGUUAAAGUUGGAACUACAUGAGGGAUCCCCAUUUGUCACCUGCUGCUGGGCCGUUGCUCUGCCCUAGCCCAACCACAAGCGUAUCUGUGCUAGUCACUGUGACACUGAUUAAGAAAUCCUGGCUGUGAUGCUCAGAGUCACUGUUUUGCAAUACUCACAAACUCUGUGUUUUGUUCUGUUGAGAAAAGCAAUUCCACUUUGAAUAAUCUUUUCCUGUAAACGUGUAGAAAACCUUUAAUCAAACACUAACUAGUUCUAGGCAUGAGAAAAAAAAGUUUGAUGAAAACAUAUCUUAGUCAUGAUGUAUAAAUAGCUCUUCACAGUCAAUAUAUAAUCUUGCAUCAUUAUGAAAGGAAGCGAUCAUUAAAAAUAUAAUUUGGAGAGCAAUAUUUUACCUCCUGGUUGUCACAGACCCCCCUUUCUGUACACAGCUCUGGACAGGGUUAAUCCCCAAAUGACUUUCACCAUUGUAAAUCAGGAGUAACAAACCCUGACUUCAAGCAAAGGCUCUUGGUGUAAAUCACUGGAGGAUCUAAUCCCGUCGCCUGAGAAAAAAAACAUGAAAACAUCUUAGGAAAAUACAACUGCUUUGGCACUGCAGAGAGGAAAAAAUAAAGCAAAAUGCUUUAAACUUCUAAGGCA
rnacentral:lncRNA from 1 species